rnacentral:rRNA from 1 species
GAUGAACGCUGGCGGCGUGCCUAAUACAUGCAAGUCGAGCGAAUGGAUUAAGAGCUUGCUCUUAUGAAGUUAGCGGCGGACGGGUGAGUAACACGUGGGUAACCUGCCCAUAAGACUGGGAUAACUCCGGGAAACCGGGGCUAAUACCGGAUAACAUUUUGAACCGCAUGGUUCGAAAUUGAAUGGCGGCUUCGGCUGUCACUUAUGGAUGGACCCGCGUCGCAUUAGCUAGUUGGUGAUGUAACGGCUCACCAAGGCAACGAUGGGUAGCCGACCUGAGAGGGUGAUCGGCCACACUGGGACUGAGACACGGCCCAGACUCCUACGGGAGGCAGCAGUAGGGAAUCUUCCGCAAUGGACGAAAGUCUGACGGAGCAACGCCGCGUGAGUGAUGAAGGCUUUCGGGUCGUAAAACUCUGUUGUUAGGGAAGAACAAGUGCUAGUUGAAUAAGCUGGCGCCUUGACGGUACCUAACCAGAAAGCCACGGCUAACUACGUGCCAGCCGCCGCGGUAA